rfam:Punica granatum cultivar Dabenzi scaffold34, whole genome shotgun sequence.
GCGCGUACAGACGUGCGAUAAAAUUGGAACUAUACUGAGAAGAUUAGCAUGACCCUUGUGCAAGGAUGUCACACAGCCACGCAGUGACCAUAGAGUGAACUAUUCUU